UGAGGUUAAAGUUCAACAAGGUCUCGUUUGUUUUGACACAUCUAUGACCUGGACAAUUUGGAGGUUAUAUUUGACAUUUUUUGAAAUAAAAUUAAGAUUUAUGAAUCUAUUCUUGAUGUGGUUCAUGAUAAUAUAGUUUAAUCUCAAUGGAUAAUGAAAAUUUAGAUUACCAUUCUUGUGAUAAUUCGCAUAUAGAUAUCAACGAGUUGAGUAAGGAAUUUAAUGCUGAAGAAUUUGCCAAAAGUCUUCUACCAAAAAGUGAUAAUUAUGAAUCAGAAGAAACGUUCUAUGGAGAUUUUUUGGAUGAUCUGGAAAAAAAGAUUGAGAGUGGCCAAAUUCCGUCUGUUACACCUAACAAUUUUGACAAUUUUCGUACUUGGUCAAAUAUAAAAUUCAAGCAAAAACAAGUUCCUUUAAUUACAAAGAAGACGAUAACUGACAACUCUGCUAAUGUUACUGAACCCGAAGUAGUAAAAUAUCAAACAGAAGUUCCAAUGGAAAACAUUGAGGGCAGGAAUAUAAAAAGCAUUUUGAAUAAUUUUUUAAAUGAAGAAAAAAAAUCUAAAGAUCUCAUUUCAAACUUGAAAUUCAACCAUGAUCCUGUGGAUUUACCGCUUAUUCAAUCUGCUAAUAAGAAGUUUUUUAGAUUUUAUUAUAUUGAUGCCUAUGAAAAACUUUUUGGAGGAGAAGCAACAGUAUAUUUGUUUGGUAAAACUUAUUGUCAUCACUGUGGAUCUUAUAAAUCCUGUUGUGCAGUUGUGAGUCCUCUUCAAAGAAAACUCUUUGUGUUACCAAGGCAAUGUAUUACAGAUGAAAAUGGAGAGAAUAUCCCAGAUAGGGCAACUUCAGUUAUAGACGAAUUCUAUAACCUUGCUCUGAAGCCUUUGAAUAUAAAAAAAUUUAAUUAUAGAUUCAUUAAAAAGAAGAUUUUGGGGGAAUCAUUUUUUCCAGCCGAAAAAAUUUUAUUAGAAAUUGAGUACUCUGCUUAUUAUCCUGCCGUUGAAAGCAAAUUACAAGGAUCAACAUUUUCCAAAAUUUUUGGUGCAAAAAAUAAUUGUUUUGAAAAUUUUUUGUUGGAUAAAUGUAUAAGAGGUCCUUGUUGGCUGGAUAUUUCCAACUCAAAAAAGGCUGUUAAAGCAAAGACUUGGUGUUAUUUUGAAGUAUCAUGUUCAACAGAAGAUAUAUCAUUAUGUGAAAGUAUUAAUAAAUCAUCAAGUCCACCUUUAACACUUCUAUCAUACCAUAUUAGAAGUGUUAACCAAAGUAACAAUAUUGCUCUUUUGUCUUGGGCUGUGAAUUUCAAUUAUGAAAUUUGGAAAGAAAAUUCUACUGUUAUAGAAGAACAAACUUAUUGUGCCUUGACUUUUGUCGGUUGUAAUGUAGGCGAGUUUGAACUACCUGAAAUUUCCAAUGGUUUAAGGAGGACUAAAAUUCAAAAACUGAAUUCUGAAAAAGAUAUGUUGAUAUAUUUUUUGAGGGAAUUCAACAAAAUAGACCCUGACAUUGUAGUUGGUUAUGAUAUUGAAAAUAAAGAUUUUCAUAAGUUUAUUGAUCGCUUAGAAUCACUACAAAUCGAAGAUUGUAAUAAAUUGGGAAAGUUUAAAGUUUUAUCAGCCAACUCGGAAUUAAGGAGAUAUUUAUUUAGUGGCCGACUUUUAUGUGAUCUGAGAUAUUUAGCCAAAGAAUUUUCCCUUUCCAGAAACUAUGAAUUGAAUGAGUUGUAUGAAAAAUUUCUUAAUAUAAAUAAAGAACAGAGAUGGGCGCCAGAAUUAGAAGAAACAUGUUUUUUAAGUGGGAAAAUGGAAACAAAAAAGUUUUUAGAAAUUCUCUUUAUUUCUUUAACUGAACCUUUACAUAUGCUUAAGUUGGUUUCAAAAACUAAUAUUAUUCCUCUUUCUGUGAAACUUACGCAGAUAUGCGGUAAUGUGUUAUCCCAAACCUUCAAUGCAAGUAUAACUGAUAGAUGCGAAUACUUGCUAUUACAUGCAUUCCAUGAACAAAAUUUCAUACCACCCAAUAAAAAGUACAAAAAGAAAACAAUAGACAUAGAGGAAGAUGAAAUAUUGUUAGGCGGUUUAGUUCUAGAACCCCAAGUUGGAUUCUAUAAUAAUUAUAUAUUGCUGAUGGAUUUUGAAUCUUUAUACCCUAGCAUUAUCCAUGAAUAUAAUAUAUGCAUAUCUCAUAAUGGGGCUGAUAAUUCAAAUAGUACUGAUCCACCUUCAGGGAUAUUACCAAAACUGAUGGGCUAUUUCAUACAAGAAAGGAGAAUGGUUAAGGAUAAAAUGAAAAGUUUAAAUAAUGAUUCCACUAUUUUUUACCGUUAUCAAAUUUAUCAGACUGCUUUAAAGUUGUCUGCUAACAGCAUAUAUGGUUGUUUAGGUUACCAUAACUUUCGUUUUAAUGCUCUAUCAGUUGCUCAGAAGGUUACAGCACAAGGUCGAAAAAUUUUGGGCAAUACUGCCUCUCUACUUGAGAAUGAAGGAUAUGAUAUUAUCUAUGGAGAUACCGAUAGCUUGAUGGUAAAUACACAUAGUAUAGACUUGGGAUAUGUGAAAGAAGUUGGUCGAAGAAUAGAAGAAAUGGUAAAUGCCAAUUUUUCUUCAAUAAAACUAAGGAUUGACUCGAUAUUCAAGAAGUUAUUGAUGAUCGCGAAAAAGAAAUAUGCGGGUAUUGCUGUAGUCCAUGACAAUGAUGUGAGAAUUCUUAAAGGUUUAGAUAUAAUAAGAUAUGAUUGGCCUGAUUGCGUUUGCGAAAUUGGAAAAAUUGUCAUAGAUAUAAUAUUAAGCGAUGAUACUCUUUUUGAAAAACAUACAAAAAUAAAGGAGCUACUAAGACAAACAAAAACAAAAUUGUCGAAAAACGACAUUCCUAUAGAAACAUUGGUAAUGACUAAAUACUUAACGCAAGAUCCAUUGAGUUAUUCCCAAGAAACAAGUUUACCCCAUGUGCAAGUAGCUCGGAGAUGUAACGAGAAAUGUCUUUUUGAUUUCAAGAUUGGUGAUGCCGUAUCCUUCGUAAUGUGUUGUGAUAAGCAGGGAACUUUCUCCCGAAAAGCUUAUCAUUUGAAGGAAUUGAAAUGCAUGAAUGAUUGGAUUAUUGAUGGUUCAUAUUACUUACGAAAACAAGUACUACCAUUUGUAUCAAAGAUUUGUUCGUCUAUUGCACUGAAUAAUUGGGAAAUUGAACAGUGUUUAGGCAAGGAAAAUCAACCUCCAAAAAAUAAACAACUUAAAUUUAAUGAAAAGAAAUUCGAAAGGAGAAAUCCAUUUAUUUUCAAUUGUCCAAAAUGUGGUGAACUAAACACAAUUGAUACAAAUGAUAAUCAAGAAAUUUUGGAUAAAUGCCAGAAUGUACAAUGUGAUUUUUGUCCUUUAGAUAAUCUCAGUUAUCUGAAAAAUAUGUUGGUAGUAACUAUUAACGGCUACAUACAAAAAUACUAUAAAUGUGAAUUGAAGUGUACUAAUGUGAAUUGUACAUUCAGAACAUUUAGGAUACCACUAUGCUAUUCAAAAGAAAAUAACAGUUGUACUGUUUGCACUAAAGGAGCAAUGGUCCAAGUAUUCAAUGAAUGUGAUCUGUUUCUUCAAUUGGCAUAUUUUAAAUAUAUUUUCAGAAGUGCAUUAUGUUCCACUUUCAAUGAACAGAAAAAAGUCGCCUGCAAUUCUUUACUACAAUCAAUUCAGUAUUACGAAGAGCUUUCUGGUUUUCUCUCAGUUGAUUUAACAAAAAUUUUCAUUAAUUUAUAAUGGCAGUUAUCAAAAUCAUAAGGCAACUGGAAAAAUAGAAUUAGUUCAAUGUUUUGAACCUUCCUGUUUAGCUUCUACUUUUUGAAUGCUUGCAGAUAAAAUUAUAAAAUUAGUUACAAAAGAAACAUGAGAGAUGCUAAUUUACAAUUCUGGUGUUAUUCUAAAUGAACUUACCUUUAUUGCUAUUGACAUAAAUUGUAAGUAUUGCAUUAUUUGAGGAAUGGUUUACAAAUCAAAUGGGGCGUUAACAAUUUAUUAUGCGUAUUUUAUUGUAAAUGCCUCUUUUAUUACAUUAACAUUAUAACAAGUGAAUGAUUAUUGUUUAUUAAUAGUCAAUAGGUGUUCCAAGCAAUUUGUGCCGAAACACAGAUAGGCAGUGCUAUACGUUGGGAUGAUGAAGAUCAGACAGUUCCAUAACGUCUACUUUGCUUUGUGACUCGAUAGAACUGCGGAGAAUUCGAAUAUUAUCAAGGAUUGAUUCAUAAUUAUUACUAUUCUGUAAUUUCUACAACGAUCAGGAAGAAGAUGAGCUUCAGAACGCAUUGGAAAGGUCAACACGCUCUGUAUUGGAGGUGUAUAAGGAGAAUAAAGGGCCAGGAUCAGUCAGUUUCUGGUGUUCUAGAAGACUCAUGGAAAGAACGAUCAGAAAGAAGAUGAGCUUCAGAACGCAUUGGAAAGGUCAACACGCUGUGUAUUGGAGGUGUAUAAGGAAAAUAAGGGGCUAGAAGCAGUCAAUUACUGGCGGUCUUGAAGACAUAUGGAAAGGUGUUGGAAACUUAAUCAUAACUGAUAUUUGUAUAGACUAAAAUUCAAAAUAUGACCAGAAUCGGGUGAGAAUCCAUCUAACAUUAUGUUAAUAGAAGGUUCCUACUGCCAGACCUACUCGAUUGUCACAUGAAGCAAGCAGGUUAGUCCUGGCGUUCUGUAAACUUACGAUGUCCAAAACAGAUUCCUACUUCUUCCGAAGUUUAACCCAACUUCAACAGAUGGCGCGGAAAAUAUGUUUUGAGAGUUGCCUUACACCUUAAUCUACGCAACAAACGUUGCACAGAAAGCAUGAACGAUUGAGUAGCUCUCUGUGUUUCUUUCAUACAUUUUUUCCAGGAAAAUAAAGGGCUAGGAUCAGUCAGUUUCUGGCAGUCUUGAAGACUUAUGGAAAGGGGUUGGAAACUAUAUCAUAACUUAUAUUUGUAUGGACUCAAAUUCAAAAAAUGACCAGAAUCGGUUGAGAGUCCAUCUAACAUUAUGUUAAUAAAUAGAAGAUACCUACUGCCCGACCCACUUGAUUAUCACCUCAAGCAAGCAUGUAGCGCG